rnacentral:rRNA from 1 species
AGCUCUGUAAGCGUAUAUCAAAGUUGUUGCAGUUAAAACGCUCGUAGUCGAACGUAGGCGCUUGGUGCGGGACCUCCUCGCGGAUGGUUUUGCGCUGGGCGCCUUUGUGGAGGGGGGCUUGGUGGUGCUUUAUUGCCUCGCCAAGUUCCUGCCACCGUUUACUGUGAAAAAAAUUAAGGUGUUCAAAGCGGGCGUUUGCCAUGAAUACAUUAGCAUGGAAUAAUAGAAUAGGACCUGGUCCUGUUUUGUUGGUUUGUAAGUAUCAGGUAAUGAUUAAGAGGGACGGUCGGGGGCAUUUGUAUUUCGGCGCUAGAGGUGAAAUGCUUGGAUUGCCGAAAGACAAACAGCUGCGAAAGCGUCUGCCGAGGACGUUUUCAUUGAUCAAGAACGAAAGUACGCA